GACGAACGCUGGCGGCGUGCUUAACACAUGCAAGUCGAACGAAGAGCGAUGGAAGCUUGCUUCUAUCAAUCUUAGUGGCGAACGGGUGAGUAACGCGUAAUCAACCUGCCCUUCAGAGGGGGACAACAGUUGGAAACGACUGCUAAUACCGCAUACGAUCUAAUCUCGGCAUCGAGGAAAGAUGAAAGGUGGCCUCUAUUUAUAAGCUAUCACUGAAGGAGGGGAUUGCGUCUGAUUAGCUAGUUGGAGGGGUAACGGCCCACCAAGGCGAUGAUCAGUAGCCGGUCUGAGAGGAUGAACGGCCACAUUGGGACUGAGACACGGCCCAGACUCCUACGGGAGGCAGCAGUGGGGAAUCUUCCGCAAUGGACGAAAGUCUGACGGAGCAACGCCGCGUGAGUGAUGACGACCUUCGGGUUGUAAAGCUCUGUUAAUCGGGACGAAAGGCCUUCUUGCGAACAGUUAGAAGGAUUGACGGUACCGGAAUAGAAAGCCACGGCUAACUACGUG
rnacentral:rRNA from 1 species